CGACUUAUAAGCCCAGUGUAGAGGGAAACAAGGCCAAUUGGGCCCAAGGCUGCGCUUUUUCACACUUUGGGGGAUUACAAACAAGACAAACACUACCGCCAGCCGCAAUAACAACAGCUUUCGGGCAGGAAGAUCACCAAUGCGGCAAGGAGAAAUGAACCAUGGAGGUGGGACCUGGAUAUUUCAGGCUUUCGUCGACGACGACGGAUGAAGUUGUCAGGGAAACAGCAGUCGAACCUGGAAAGACGGUGCUGCGAAAAGGCACUCGGAGGAUGCGGCGCGGAAAGGGCUUGGCGUAGGCUCCAAACACAACCUAUAUCCGGCCUUUGGAAGCGGUUUGCAAAUGCCGAGACUUCGCAGACGCUGACAUGCUUGGCGUGAAGAUCAUUCCAGAUCCAAUUCUUGGCAUCUCAAGGCAGGGUUAAGAAAAACCCUCUCUGAAACCCUAGAAAGAUAUUUAUAUUCCGCCCUUCUUUCUCACCGCAAAGGGGACUCAGGGCGGAUCACAAUGUACAUAUACAUGAUAAACAUACAGACAGAGACACAGAAGCAAUUUAACAUUUUCCAGCUUCCGGCUUCAUGAGGUUGUGCUCGAUUCCGGCCACAGGGGGAGCUGCUGCUUCAUCAUAUACUGUGACACCAAGUCCUUGAUGGAAUACUUCCUCAUUAUUCCCCAUGCUGCUGGACAUUUUAUGAGCUUUUGGCCCAUUCUAGGAUACGAGUUGGGAUACCGCCGAUUUCUGGGCCUGAAUAUAUUGCACAAGAUUUCUCUAGCCUAAAAUGAUACAUUUUAAUAUAUUGGGUUUAUGGUUCCCAUCCCCUUGAUCAGGUCAUGUAAGUGUUAUUUAUUGCUAUAAUUGUAUUAUUUUACUUUGCUUAAUAAUGUGUUAUUAUGUUGUUAUGUAAUGUUUGUGUUGUUUUUAUGAUUGGAAACCGCCCUGAGUCCCAUCCGGGAGAUAGGGCGGUAUAUAAAUAAAGUUUUAUUAUUUUAUUAUUUUAUUGAUAUAACCCGAUCUAUUUGUUGGAUUAAUGUGAAGUUGAAUAUAGACUGGCUCUGACCUUUUGCCCAGUGCUACUGGCCCUGUUGUAAUAGUCACACAAUGUUUUACUGUUUUAAUUGUGUAUGAUAUUGGUUUUUAAAUGUGUUUUUACCAUUGUUGGUUUUUACUAUAUUUUGUAUUAUAUGUUGCAUUAAUCUCGCCAUUAUGUAAGACCGCUCUGGGUCACCCUGCGGGAGAAGAGCGGUAUAUAAAUUAAAUAAAUUAUUGCUGCGUUUUAACUUUGUCUUAUUAAUGGUUUGAUUUUAAUCGUAUGUUUUAAUAUUUCGUUUGUGCGUUUUCGGUAUUUGAUGUUUUUGUAUGUAUACUUGUUUUGCAUUUGUAAGCCGCCCUGAGUCCCUGCGGGGAGAUAGAGGCGGGAUACAAGAAUAAAAUUAUUAUUAUUAUUAUAAAUAAAUAAAUAACUUAAAUUAGCCUCCCCACAUAAAGCGGUACCUAAAUUUCCUACUCCGACAGAUGCAACUGUCUUUCGGGUUGCUUAGGUAAACAACGAGCUAGGCUAUUUAAUGACCGGGUGCUCAAUCCAACCCGUGUUAGUAUCAAACUCAUUGAUUAGGAAUUGUGGAAGUCCAAAACACCUAAGGGCCGAAGUUUGCCCAUGCCUGGUGUAGAUGUACUAUGAGCAAGGAUAGUUAGUAACAUAAUGUAAAUAAUGCAAAAAUUUGUUUUGCAUCAGGCCUACAGGUUAUCCUUUGCGAUCUCCUCUCAACUCGAAGCCUGGAUUCCUUUAUCCUUUUGACCUGUAAUCUUAUAAUGCUUGCACUAUGAAAGAUCCGGUAAUAGGAUUGUUUUCCACCCUCCAGGCUGUUUCCCAAUAGGAAAUUAUGUAAACCAUCAAGUAAUGCUUGUUAACACAGGCAGUUGUGACACGCAGACGAAAAUGGGUCAAAACUGCCCAUUCAUACUAUCCGUUUUGUCCCAUUGUGGACAAAGAAGGGCUUCAGAGGUUUUUAAAGCAGAAGCUGGAUGUCCAUCAACACUGCUUCACAAUACUGAAAUGUUGCAUUGAAAUGCUUUUAAUACAAGCUGCAUUGAGUCUCUUAGUGGAGAGAAAAAGUGGGGUAGAAAUAAACGUAAACAUAGCAAUAAUAAUAAUAAUAAUAAUAAUAAUAACUGGGGUCUGCACACAUCAUCCGAAAAUACAUCACACAGUCCUAGACACUUGGGAAGUGUUCGACUUGUGGUUUUAUGAUACAAAAGCCAGCAUAUCUAUUGUGUUUGCUGUGUCAUAAUAAAAUAAUAAUAAUAAACAAUAGAGCUGGUCCAGCUUCUAGGAAUCCUAAGAUACAGGGGCCGGGCUGUGGCACAGGCUGGUUAGCAGCCAGCUACAAUAAAUCACUCUGACCAAGAGGUCAUGAGUUCGAGGCCAGCCCAUGUCGGGGUGAGCACCCGACAAUUAAAAAUGAAAUAUAGCCCCUGCUCGUUGCUGACCUAAUCAACAUUUAUCAAGUAGGAAAUUUAGGUACCACUUAUAUGUGGGGAGGCUAAUUUACGACACCAUAAAAAUCACCCAGCCACCGCUGGAAUGAGGAAGUUGCCAUCGCAGUGGAUGAUGAAGCAGCUGCUCCCCUGUGACUGGAAUCAAGCAUACCCUCUGGAAACUGGAAGCUGGAGAAGGUUUAAAUUACCUCUGUGUCUGUCUCUGUCUCUGUUCUAUGUUAUAUGGCAUUGAAUGUUUGCCUUAUAUGUGUACAAUGUGAGAAAAAAGGGAGGAAUAUAAAUACGGCCGAUAAAUAAAUAAAUAAAUAAAUAAAUCCGAAUGUACCGAAACUCAUUCUAAUGUUCCUGUUGAAAACUAAGACGGAGGAAAUUUCCAUCCAAAGUAGCUAAUGAACUAAUUCCAUCGUUGCCCAUUUAUGGGGUCCUGCCAAAACACCUACACACACUCUGCAACAUAUGUGCUGUACCCUGAUUCUGAACAGCCCGGUGCCUCGUGCCAAAGGCAUUUGCAUCCCGGCUCCUACGCUCCCAUCUGGAGCUCCAGGUUUCCGGAGAUUGGAUCAACGUGGAGCUCCCAUCCUUCCUCAAUAUUCCGGAAAAACAACAACAACUCGCUAAUUAAUCGAAGGUUUCAUCCACACAAGAAAGUAGAGGUCCAUUUUGCUUGUCCUCGAGGAACUCGAAAAAGCUCUCCAAGCUGAUGAAGCCUUUCCCGCCAUGGGUUCAACCAGGCCUGGGCAAACUUCGGCCCUCCGGGUGUUUUGGACUUCAACUCCCAUCAUUCCUAACAGCCUCAGGCCCUUUCCUUUGCUCUGGCCUUUCAUUUCUUAGUGAAAAAUUUGUUACUACUACGACAGUCACGAAAUUUCAUUACUAUUUCGUUAUAGUAAUUGCACAGUUGUGAAAACUUCAUGGGCUCCUUUAUUCCUAAUUUCUAAACCUAUUGCAGUGAAACUUCUGUUCUCUUGGCUUUACCAAAGUUGCUUAAUGCUUAUCCUGAAAAUUAAACUAACCUUGGGAGGCAUUAAAAUGUUACAAAAUUAUCAGUGAGUGUUUUAAUUCUUAAAUCCUCCCCACCUUUCCUUCAUGUUUCUAAUAUCGAUUCGUAGGCACAAAUCUGACGAAUUUAAUACGAAAUACGAACUAAACACGAAAUUUUGCACACCUCUAGUAUAUACAGUAGAGUCUCACUUAUCCAACAUAAACGGGCUGGCAGAACGUUGGAUAAGCGAAUAUGUUGGAUAAUAAGGAAAGGUUAAGGAGAAGCCUAUUAAACACCAAAUUAGGUUACAAUUUUACAAAUUAAGCAUCAAAUCAUCAUGUUAUACAACAAAUUUGACAGAAAAUGUAGUUCAUUAUGCAGUAAUGCUACGUAGUAAUUACUGUACAGUAGAGUCUCACUUAUCCAAGCUAAACGGGCCAGCAGAAGCUUGGAUAAGCUAAUAUCUUGGAUAAUAAGGAGGGAUUAAGGAAAAGCCUAUUAAACAUCAAAUUAGGUUAUGAUUUUACAAAUUUGACAGAAAAUGUAGUUCAAUACGCAGUAAUGUUAUGAUGUAAUUACUGUUUCUACUAAUUUAGCACCAAAAUAUCACGAUGUAUUGAAAACAUUGACUACAAAAAUGGCUUGGAUAAUCCAAAGGCUUGGAUAAGCGAGGCUUGGAUAAGUGAGACUCUACUGUAUUUACGAAUUUAGCAUCAAAAUAUCACGAUGUAUUGAAAACACAGACUAUAAAAAUGCGUUGGAUAAUCCAGAACGUUGGAUAAGCGAGACUCUACUGUAUUCCAAAACAUUUAACCUACUGAUGCCUCAAUUCAUGUAAUUAUAUUGGUAUCUAUUUUUAUUUCUGAAAUUUCCCACCCUCAGCUUAUACUGGAGUCAAUGUUUUCCCAGUUUUUUUGUGGUAAAAGUAGAUGCCUCGGCUUAUAUUUGGGUCAGCUUAUACUCGAGUAUAUACAGUAUAUAUAUAUAUAUACACACACACACACACUCAUGUACUACCUUGGAUCUCCAUGGAAACACUAUUUGAAGCUCUCAAUCCAAAGUGUGAGACAGAAUUUAAAAAACCAGCUGGUGCAAUGAGCAUAAGGUGUCUAUAUUAUUUAAUCUUUACAUGACCUGUACGAAGGUUUAUUGAGGAUUCUGGACGAAUGGAUUUUUAUCAUGGACAUGCUUAAAAUUUUAUAUAAUGUGAUUUUAUUUUGCAAUGGUGCCUGUUUUAUAUGAAUGGUUGUUUUGUAGAUUGUUUUAUAUGAAUUGUUUUUGGGCAUUGAAUUUUCGCCUAUUUAUUGUAAGCCGCUUUGAGUCCUCUCGGGGAGAAAGGCGGGGUAAAAGUGAUGUAAAUCUAUAUAUAUAUAAAAGGGUAAUGAAAUUUCGGCCUAGGACAAAACAACAAAACUGCACAUCCCAGAAACACUAAACUUGGCAGCACAACCCCUCAUCCAUGCCUCUACGUUCAUACAACAAAAAGAAAAGAAAAAUAAAGUCCUAAUUAGAGGGAGAGGAAUAAUUGUUUUUAUUCCAUUUGCUGCCACUUAGAAGGCUAAGUUCCGCCCACUUGGUCUCCUAGCAACCCACUCAGCCCAGGGGACAGGCAGAGUUAGGCCUCACUUAGGCCUCUUCCACACUGCCUAGAAAAUACAGAUUAUCUGAUUUUAACUGGAUUAUAUGGCAGUGUAGUCUCAAGGCCCUUCCACGCAGCUAUAUAACCCAUUUAUAAUGGACUUAAUGUCAGGGGAAAAGCUUUACCCUUUACCUUAACUACCACCAAUUCCUCAAUACUUUAUUUCCCAGACCACCAGACUAUGCCACAGCAACGCGUGGCCGGGCACAGCUAGUAAAUACAUAAACAAAUAAUCUUCCAUUGCAAUCGAUACAUGUUUUGCUUUGUCUCCUUCCCUUCUUAAAAACAUUGUUUUAGCUUAAACUGGUCAAUCCAGUAGCCACUUGAAGAUCAAAUUGCCACUUCCUUGUAAGGGAAAGGUCUUUUUCCGUCUGGAUUGCUCAAGCCUUCCAACCUGUUUUUUUUUAAAUAGUUUUUAUUGUGCUUUUAUCUAUAAUUACAGUGAAAGCGAGGAAAACAGUUGUGUGUAGAAAGUGGGGUGAAAGUAGAGACCAGAGACCAAGAAGCCAAAGAAGAUAAAACCAGGAGAGAAAAGAUAAAUAAAUAAUAAACUUUAAAAAAAAUAGGUGUGAAAAGAAAAGAAAAAAUUAAAAAAAGAAAAGAAAAAAUAAGGAUAAUAAAAAGAGAAGAAGAAAAAAGAGAAAAAAGAAAGACAAAUUUGGAUAACUUCCCAUUGACCUCUUGAGGGUUUCAAAAUCUUGUAGUCUGUUUUCAUCUCUGGUAUUAACAGUCUUAUAGUUUUGGUGUAUAUCACAUAUCAAAUAAGUCUAUUGUUAAUGUUGUAUAGACUUUCCUUUGGCGUUCUGCAUUGUUACUUUCUUUUCCCAAUAUGUGGUUUGUCUUUUAUGUCUUAAUCACUAUUUUGUCAGAUGAUGGUAUAUUCCAAUGUCUUUUGAUUUUCUAUUUGAUUGCUGACAAUAAUUUAUGUGGCUCAGAGAUCAAAAGGGGAUGAUAUAGGGACCAGUUGUGCUAUAUGACUCAGGUUCUGUUGUAUAUUAUACUGUGGUUACAAUUAAUAUCUUAUCUUGCUUAUGAUGGAGGUUGUUGCCUUGUCCUUUUUCCUCCUAACUUCUCUCCUUGCUGCUUGUCCUAAACUGACCGCCUCCUUCUUGUCAAUCUGUCUUCUCUGAUAGUUCUUCUUCUGUAUUCUGAUUAAUCUGUUUCUUUUUCCGUUUCUCUUUUUGUUGGGCCAGUUGUUUUCCCUUCUGCAGGGGUUUGUUUUCUACAGCUCUGUCGCUCCGUAGCACUGUGAUUCUAUGUUCACCUUCCAACCUGUUGACUUGCACAGUUGUCAACCAUUGGCUCGAGAGCGCUUUCCGUGACCCACUUGAACCUGUGCGAGUGUAAGUGGCCGAAAUGUGUUGACUCACACGUUGUCGGGCUUCUCGGACGGGCGCAAAACAAAGGUAACGCACACCUCCAAGGUGGCAAAGAUGACAAGGAAGAGGCAGCUGGAAAAACGACUAAGUGGGAGAGGUAAAAUAACGGCCGGGAAACCCGAUCGCUCCCGCGGCCGGCGUGUCACCGACACCGCUCUCUUCCAUUUACGUCAUGGGCGAAUUUGGGGCCCUGGAGCAGGAGGUAAUCCAUAAUCCCCAAAGAGAGGAAUGUGAGUCACGGCUCAGCAUCACUCCGCUACGAGCGGCUUGGAAAAGGCACACUGCUGAGGAAGCUUGUUCAGUGUGUCAUGUUCGUUUGCGUUCUCCCACUGCUGCUCUUCUCUGCCUCAUUUCCUGCCUUUCUUCUUCCUUCUUGACUUCAACGGCAUGUAGAACCUAUCGUUCCUGAGAUGACCUGUUGUUGAUGCGGAAGGACAACUCCGCCAGAGGAAAACAGGAGUUCUUGUAUUGAAAAGUGGCCAAAAACCAAGGAGAAACGGAUACAGAACACACUCAAAUUUGUUUUCAAACUGUUAGGUUGGAAGAAGCUGGGGCUAACAGCGGGAGCUCACUCCGCUCCCCGGAUUCAAACCAGCAAGUUCAGUAGCUCAGUGGUUUAAAAACAUGGUUGUUCCAGAGCUUAAAUGAAAGAGUUCCAGAGUGUAAAUGAAAGGCCCAAUACAACUGUUAUUAGAAUACUUCUUUCUGUUUUAAAAGCAUAUGGCACUUUAUCACUGCUACUUACAGUAGAGUCUCACUUAUCCAACAUAAACGGGCUGGCAGAACAUUGGAUAAGCGAAUGUGUUGGAUAAUAAGGAGAGAUUAAGAAAAAGCCUAUUAAACAUCAAAAUAGGUUAUGAUUUUACAAAUUAAGCACCAAAACAUCAUGUUAUACAACAAAUUUGACAGAAAAAGUAGUUCAUUAGACAUUAAUACUAUGUAGCAAUUACUGUAUUUAUGAAUUUAGCACCAAAAUAUCACGAUGUUUUGAAAACAUUGACUACAAAUAUGCGUUGGAUAAUCCAGAACGUUGGAUAAGUGAGUGUUGGAUAAGUGGGACUCUACUGUAUUUCCAUGAUACAGCACUUUAUGAAACCUAUCCCCACUGGUUUGCUUUUAAUUACUCUGAUUUUAUCUGCUUGGAUUUUAAUGUAUCUGUCCAUUAUUUUAUUUUGUGUAUUGUUGGAAUGUUUUAAGUUUAUGUCAAAUAUGUUGCUGUUGUUUCAGGCUUGUCCCUGUUUAUGAGCCGCCUCGAGUCCCUUCGGGGAGAUGGGGCGGGAUAUAAAAAUAAAGUUGUUUAUUAUUAUUA